GUCAAGUCAUCAUGCCCCUUAUGACCAGGGCUACACACGUGCUACAAUGGCCAGUACAAAGGGUCGCCAACCCGCGAGGGGGAGCCAAUCCCAUAAAACUGGUCGUAGUCCGGAUCGCAGUCUGCAACUCGGCUGCGUGAAGUCGGAAUCGCUAGUAAUCGCUGAUCAGCAUGGCAGCGGUGAAUACGUUCCCGGGCCUU
rnacentral:rRNA from 1 species